rnacentral:lncRNA from 1 species
CAAUUUCAAUUUCUUGAUCACAAAAAUACAACCAAAAAGGGAACCAAACUUGCUUUUAUUAUACCCUUGCAACUUUGGAAUUUUUUCAAGCCAGGACAAAACUAUCAAAAACAAGAGUUAAAGAUUAAGGUCCACCCCACCCACCCCACGCGCGCACAGACACUAUUCAUUUUUACUUGGUCCUUAAUCUUCUCUCUUCAUUUCUAUUUCAUUUUCUCCAUCACCAUGGCUUCCAAACUUCACAACCUACUCUCUUUACUACUAUUCCUCUCCGCAAUUCUUGAUUUUCCGGCCUCCACGACAUCGCAAGAGUGUCCUUAUCCGUGUUUCCCACCACCAACCGGCCCCGGGAACAACCCUCCAGUUGCCACAACACCACCAUCACCACCAGUUCCCACCACUACCCCACCAACUUCGUUUCCUCCUCCAGCUUUCACCACCCCUCCUGCUGGUGACUUACCAUAUAAUCCUCCAUCACCUGACUCUUUUAACGGAGUCACGCCACCGCCACCCGAGCCGAUAGUGCCGUGGUUUCCAUAUUAUUACAGAAAGCCACCUCAUCAAGAUCAGUCAUCAUCAACAGCUCUGAAUCAAGGAUCAAGAACCACGAUCAUCAUAUUGACUCUACUUUUUCUUGUUUUUUCUACUGUUUUUGUCUGACUUUUCUUGAAUUUUCAUGUAUUUAAGAGUUUUAGAUGAUGAUAUAGUACAAGAAUCCUUGUAGAAUAUUAUGUGUUCUGUUCUUUCAGAAAUUAAGGUGAAAUUUUUUUGGGAUGAUGAUCAAAGGGCCGUAGUUUGAUGAUGAUCAUGAGAACGAUGGGUCAACAAUCUUGUGGUUUAUGUUUCGUAUUGUAGUUUUGAUGAGAAUUUUCAAACUAGUGGAUUGAAUAAUCUUCUUGAAUAUGCAUUUUAAUUAUUAAUCAAGUUCAGACCUUCUAUAAUUAUAUAUGGAUUAUGGGGA